rnacentral:misc_RNA from 1 species
GAACACAAUGGCAACUUGGGUGGGCGUGAUUCCCGGCGCGACCUGGCGCAGCGCGAACGACAUCGCCAACUUUGGCGGGAUUCCGUCGAACAUCGCGGCGGCGAAAGUGCUCGGGCACGCUUGCCGGCAGCAUCCGCCGAGUGCCGAAGCCGGGGUUGCGGAAGAUUUCUCUUCGCCGC